UUUAAGGAUAUUUAAGGAUAUGGUCAGACAGACAUGUGUUCAAAGAUAGAAUUUACUACCUAGCAGUUGUUAUCCUAAGUCCUUGUCAACUUUCCAAUUAAUAAAAUGAGGAUACACACAUACUAGCCUAAAGGGAGCAUGUCAUGCAUUAUGUGAAUGGAAGUCUCUAUCCUUGGAUAUGCCAUGAAAAGAUUGAUGGGGGCAUCCACUCUCAAAUACAGACAGCCAGAAGGAAAGUGGCAAGUACAAAGCAGUUUAUUAAACUGAAAGGACACUCUCAAGUGCUUUGAAACCUGCCUGUGUCUGACAUCUGCAAAAUCCACUUUGGGGAGACUCCGAAGUGUACCUCAAAGCAACAAGUAUUUAUCCAUAACAAUAGUGACCAGCAUUGAUUUAUUUUUGCCGUUAAGCAUUUUGAUUGAAUUCUAAAACAUGAACAGUGGUUUGAUUGAA